rnacentral:rRNA from 1 species
AGUGAACGUUGGCGGCGUGGAUUAGGCAUGCAAGUCGAGCGAGAACCGUAGCAAUACGGGGACAGCGGCGAAAGGGACAGUAAUGUGUAGGUACCUACCUCCGGGUUCGGGAUAGCUGCGGGAAACUGCAGGUAAUACCGAAUAACGUCUCCGGACCAAAGGUGUGAUUCCACCUGGAGAGGGGCCUGCAUCCUAUUAGCUUGUUGGCGGGGUAACGGCCCACCAAGGCGACGAUGGGUAGCGGGUGGGAGAGCACGACCCGCGUCAUUGGGGCUGAGACACUGCCCAGACACCUACGGGUGGCUGCAGUCGUGAAUCUUCGGCAAUGGGCGCAAGCCUGACCGAGCGACGCCGCGUGCGGGAUGAAGGCCUUCGGGUUGUAAACCGCUGUCGUAGAGGAGGAAAUGCAGGGGGGUUCUCCCCUCUGUUUGACCUAUUCUAGGAGGAAGUACGGGCUAAGUUCAUGCCAGCAGCCGCCGUAA